CAUAAUUUGUCUGUGCUGGAACAAAUCUACAAGACUCCAGAAGUGCUCUGCAGAUCAUGCAGAUUAAACAUGAACUAAUUAGUAGAUUUCUGGAUCUCUUAAGUCCACAGCUUUGGAAAAAGCUGACAGUAGCCACCAGCAUUCCCACAUGGAGAGGGAGACAAAGCCUAGACACACCAGCAAAAUGGCUACAGAUGUAGCUAUGUGUGAAGUCUUUGCAAAAGAAAAAGAAAUAACAACAACAAAUAGAGAUAAUAAACAUCAGCAACUCAUUUCUGUGUUUUCCUAACUCAUUUUGAGAAUGAAGAUCUUUUUUGUGAUUUUAAUUCACUCUUCUGUGGAAAUUUGACAUGAUUCUCCUAGAACUGGUGGACAUAAAUCACCGCAGGGUAAGAAGGAAAAUAUAGAAGCUGUGAAGAUGAAUCCUGAGUUCAGCCAUGGCCAGUCCGAGUGCAUCUGAAAGCUGUGACGACAGCAAAAAGGAAAGAUUGUGACAAUUGCACUGGGAACAAACCCAAAAACUGCUUUGCCAAUAUGUGAAGGCUUCUUCGUUCUGAAAGUUUUCUCAGAGUUUCCUCAAGAGACCACAAUAACUCUACACCAAAUGUUCCAGGAGAUGAUGAAGAACAAUAACAGCUGCUCUGAAGACCAUUGCAAACAAUGGAAAGUCCCCAGUUGAUUUGCUCAGUCUUGAAUCAAGUCCAAAAUUCACAGAAUUUCGGAAUAGAAGUAAACCCAGCCUCUGGACUGCAAUAGUAGCAUUAGGGCUGGGAGUAAACUCGCAUGACCCCAUCACUUAAGUCCUGUCCUACAGCUACCACUGAAAGCCAGGUGCCUAACAAAUGCUGUGGUUCAGUGCUGGUCCUGGGGGAUGCUGCUCCCCAUCCCUUUGCUUGAAGGAGUAGCAUGAGUGUCCUUGGGAAGGUCUCUCCAGAAUCGCAUCCAUCAUGCAUAGUGUGACCUUGUUUGCUGAAUCUCAGUGGGACUGCAGUUUGGUGCCAGCCAGCACUCACAGGCUGCCCACCUACUCCCACCAGCACCAGGUUUAUGUGAAACCUCCAGCUUGAGCUCGCUGGCACUGAGCCUGGCUGCUCCUUUCUCUCACCAUCCUCCCCAAGAGGCUCAGAGCCUGCCAGGAGGUGAGAGCAUGAGCCAUCGUGUUGGCCAGAGCUUUGGCAGAAGGACACAUCCCUCCUUCACCUCGCUGGGACCUGAAGCAAAACCAGGCAGCACAGCUGCGUGUCCGUGGGCUGAGCAGAGAUUCCAGCUCCUGAUCCUCAUACUUAAACCCCCUCUGGAAUUCAUCUCAAAGAGCCACUUAGCAACAUGGCAAAGAGCUCAAAACCCCCUGUCACGUUACUUGGAAGCACAAGCUCUAGCAGCUCCAAAGCAUUUAUUGAAUGCUCACCCACAGCUUCUCAUUCAGGGCUCAUUUUUACGUGCCCCUCCACAGGUGCUUUGGGGCUGGUGCUGGGCACAGAAAGGCCUGUGGGCUUUUGUGGCCAUGGCAACUCAGGGACAAAUUCCCCAAUGACCUCAUUGUCUUUGCGUGUCCUCGAAGAACAGGGCAGGGCGGUUUGUGCCCCAAGAGGCAUGCUGGCACUUUGGCAUAUGAAGGCAAUGCAGUCAGCAGCCUCUACUUUAUCUCAUAAUCACCUCCCCAGCCCUACCUAUGUCACAUGCUGCCACUUCAGACAUGAUUUCAGGGUGGCUUUUGCAGUGAAGGCUUUAUUUGGGGAAAACAAAGCAGUCAGAUGUUCACACAAAUAAACAUGUUCCACUGUGGGUACAGCCUUGCAAAGCUAAGGGUGGGCAGCAGGGUGCUUGCCAUGUGCUUGCCGCUGUUGUUCACAUUAAGCCUUCCAAAGUGCUGUUUUAAUAUUGCUUUCUGCUCUGCAAAGGCCUUAUGGAUCUGAUGAUAGAUAAUAUACAUAAGGCAAAGAGAAGGCUAGUUUGUAAAACUAGCCUUUUGGUGCUUUUUUCAGUAAAUUAAUGUCUUUCAGAAUGCCUCUGUACCUUGAAACAAGGAUUUGCCAUACAUUACGUCAUUCAGACCUAUGAUUUAUGUUCAAGCUUUUUAAAAGCCAGGGAAUGAUCCACUAUAAUUUAACCCCAUCUCCAUGCAAAAUAUGCUCUCCAUACUCUUUGUCGUCUUAGCAACAUGAAAGCAAAGCACUCGGAGGUCUCUGAAGCAGAGCUGCAGCACCAAAACUCAGCUGUAAUGCACAGCGUGGCAAGCCCCAUCCACUGCGUCAGGGCAGGUAAAGACCUUAAGAUCCAACCCCGGAUUUUGAUGCUCUUGGUUGUGUGAUGGGCAGAGCCACCUGGCAUCUCCACUGCCCAGGCAGGAGUUCACAUGGGUGGCUCUCCCAUCCAGGUGUCUUGAUGUCUGAUGCUUCCAUGUAAAAAAUCGUUUGGUAUUUUUCUCCAGAUCUUCCUAAGACAUAGCUUGUUCUCAAUCUACGUGUCAAGAACCUCAGACACUUUUCUUUGCAGCACACAGAUGAAUGAAAAUGUCCCUUAGAGCUAGUACUGUUAAAAAAUCCUAAUGAGCGUUUCUUAUUCGUAGCAAUGCCUUGUUUUUAAAAGCUUGGCACUUCAUAUUUAAGUAACAGUUUUUAAUGUGUUUUUUUUGCAUCUCUUCAGAGUCGCAGCUUGCUUUCCUUCCACCUCCCUCCUAAGUCCCUGGAGCACAGCCUUUCACCUACCUCACCCCAAGGCAAGUCCAACAAACUACCAAACAGCAGCUAUGAGGAAAUACCUACACAGAAGCAGGGGAAGACGCACAGAAGAAUGUGAAAGCCAGUUUGCACUAGCAAUGGAAACCAUUUGGGAUCCCUGGAAAUCAAACCCAGGGGGACUCAGCUCACACUAAGCCAUUGCUGGGCUUUCUCUCUCAUCUUCUGCUUUUAAGGCUCAGUCCAUCAUCAUGUAACACAGACAACACGCUUCGCCUGCAUGACAGCUCUCUGCAUUUUGCCUGCCUGCAAAAAGAUGAAGAUUUGGCAUUCUCAGUUAAUUUUUUUCCAAGCAGGAACUGUAAUAUUAUUUGUAGGUUUUAAUGUCACUUCUGUGUUCUUGGGCACCCUGCUCAGUGCUUUUGAAGAGCAACAGUAGUAUCGUUAACAGUGAUAAGAUCUUUAUAUGCCUGUUGUCCUUGAGGACUUUGAUAUUAUAGUUGCAUUGCAUUUGAUGAAAACUUUAUCUGCAGACAGUCCUUCACCUUCAGCCUACCAGAAAACUCUAUCUUUGACCUUCAAAGGCUUUUGAAUUCACGUGCAGCAAAGAAAUUGCAAAGCGAGCACCUGACGUGCAGUGUUUGCUAGACCUGCCAUUGCCAGCUCAUAACCUUCAGCUGCUGCUUGUUCCCUCCUCCCAAGCUCUCUGAAAUGCCUUCCAGCCCUUCCAACAGUGGCAGUACCGUUGGUAGAGACUAAAGUAAACCUCCAUCAUGGAGCUCCUAGAUCCAGCUGAAGUUUGAGAGAUGCUACCGUAGCCCUGGAUGGAAGGAAAUACAUUUCAGAUGACAGUAAGUGUCAUACAAAGCAUCAAGAUCCCAGACAGAGACCACUGUUAGUGUCAUGGACAAUAAUAAGGACAAGGAGUGUAGAAGAGCGCAUGCAGUCCAUGCUAAUUGCUCCCACUGCUAUGAAAACAGUGAAGUGAUGCAUGAUGUGAAUAGACAAAAAAAAGGACAAAGUUGAGGAAGGCAGCCCUUCUUCCAUGGUGGAAAGGGAGGAAGCCCAUAUUGGCACAACAAACCGCGAAUAACAGUAAAAGCAGCUGAGCCUGAAGCUGAGCUGUCCAUGAUGUGCCCUUCGAUGAGUCUGGAUGAUCUUCAUCAGCAAAGCAGGGAUGGGGCCUUCUUUUCCUGCUUAGCUGGUGUUUUUCAAGGUUCUCCUGCCACAUGACCAUAGCACACCGUGCUCCCACCUCCAAGCAAGAUUCCCUAAAACCUAAAUAACAAUUAGCACCAGCUGUGCUACCUGGAAUUAAGUGUAGAGCCAAUGAUGAGACUACUAGAGGUACUAUUUAGGACCAGGGCAUUGCCAGGGGAAGAUCAAAAGUGUUGUCUUUAGUGUCCUUCUUCAAAACAGUCAUCAGUACUGUUCAAGAACCCUCCUCUUUAUAUUUAUCUUAUCUCCACUUCAUUAUAGAAAAGUUCUGGCUGAGAACUGAAGUGCCCAUGCAGUUGUAAUCAAGCCACACAAUGAGGGUCUCUCCUCUCUCAUUCUGCCAGCCAGGGACACUCGCUGUCACACUGCAUUCAUGCUCAGGAACAGAAUUGUCAGCUCAGCCCUGACUCAGGCCCUCCAUGCCAGGGAUGGAAGGGCUGUUUCACAACCUGAUUCAGAGUCUCCUGAUGGUCUGGAGAAGAGCUUGUUCCAGGCCUGAUUCAUGCUUCUAUGAUCUGAUUCCAAGUCUCCUGGCCCAGUGGGGAAGUGGGAUUGUGAUUCAGACAUCUGAAUUCAGAGCAGGCUGACUUGGGACUCCUAGCUUGUGCUAUCCCCUGGAUGACACCUGCUGCCUAGGUGCUCUCAAGAGCCCUUCUGAGCUGCACUUUGGACCAGAUCAAUGCAAAGGAGCUAUAUGUUCAGAGAUCUUCAGGCUGAAAUUGCCUGCUGGGUGAAUAGAUGCUAAUCCACCUGUGUGGGUCACUGCACUUUCUACCUGUUGGCACAGCCCCUCCUGACAUGGUGUCACAGCAGAUGUGCUAGAUUGAUGCCCUUUGUAUCCUGCUCUGAAGAAUCUAAUGAGCUUUUUCAGUAUCCACAGCACAGGGCUGCUGGGUUUGGGGCCUCGUACGUAUACUUACAGGACCUGACAGUGGCUCUUGAAUUCUUAAUCCUUCUGAGAAGCAGACUGUGUGUUCUUUCCAACAAGGAUCAAUCUGGACUUUGCUCACUUGAAUGUGCCAAGAGGAAGUGGCAGGCAAAAUUGUAAUCCUUCACAGUACCACUGGAAAGAGGACCCACGAAUUUCACACUACAUUAGAAGUGAACACCUUGGUAAAGCCCCUCUGGUUUCCUCCAUGUUUCUCAUUCCCCUUGGUCUAUUUCAUUUUUGCCUUUAUGUUUAAAAUGAAGGUGAGAGUGGACCACAGGAUGCAAACUGCUGACGCAGGCUGCCCAGUGCCAAUGGGUGUUCAACAGCCCCACAACUUCAGCAUGGGGUGGCUGGAAGCUCCAUAAGAGUCUUCACUGUCAUCCAUUGAUGAACAGUGAGAAGAGCAACAAAGGCUGCUGGAGAAUGGGGGUUUGAAGGGGCUGUGAACUUUGGUGGCUGAUUUGGGACCAUAGGACCAGCCUGGUACACAGAACUGGCAGCUCUUGUGGUUGCUGCCAGCUUGGUGGGCCCUCUAAAAGGACUGAUACCGAUCAACAUUAGGUAUGCACAAAGAUGUCACAGCACUCGAGCUGUCCUCACAAAGCCAUGGAGUCAAGAACUGAAGGAAGAGAGUGGGAUGGCUCCAGGGUAGCCAUCCAGCUGUUGGCAGAAGGCAGGAGCGAGGUGCUCAGCUCUCCAGCUCAAGGCUUCAUGCUGCAGAGAGCCCAAACUCUGGUGUUAAUGGCAGGCCCUGAGAUGUGGUCUCCCAUAACGUAGAACCUUCCUCAAAACGUCGGGAAGAAGUGACAGCAGAACAAAAGGAAUGAAGGAGGGAGAAGGAAUUUGGUCGGCAUAUCUCUUUAACGGAAAUCCCUGGGUGAUACCUGAGACCUGGGGGCAUCUGAGCAGCAGCAGCUGCAGUCCAGCCUUUGUCAGCAGAGUUUACCCCACAAUGCAGCAGGUGGGGACUGAUGGGGCACAGCUGCCUCUGCUAAUGGGCCAAGCCCAAGUGAAGUGGGUAAUUUCACUCGGUGAUGUGAAGUACGGGUCUCUGAAGUACCAUCUGGGCACAAGUGAGGCGCACUGGGUUGAAUCCUCAAGCGCAGUGCUGGGGAGCAAUGGUUCUGCAUGGCAGUGGGAGAGGCAGCGUGGGGAAUCGCAAAAUCACAGAAUAUCCCCAGCUGGAAGGGGCCCACAAGGGUCACUGGGUCCAUCUCCUGGCACCAACCAGGGCCACCCACAGCUUGCUCACUGGGAGAAGCACUACAGCAACCGGGGCCAUCUAAAUGCUACUGUUAACACACUCACAACAUUUUCCCAGCCAGUCAGGACAUAAAACUGCACUCCAGUGACAUUAUAUUUGUGGUAACCAAACCCUCUUAUGCAGUCAUCUACCUUUCUGGGGCUCAGCAAGUUCUCUUGGCACAAGAUAAUUUCUAGCAUGAUUCUCUUUCCAGCAUUGCUGAUGCUGAAAGUCUCUCUAGCCCUUCAGCCGUGCUCAGGGUAGGCCUGGUAACUCAUCUAAUUUCUGGUAACUUGAGCUGCCUUUGUGUGACUGCUGUGCCUGCAGCUGUGCUGUGGGACCAACAGGGUUUAUGGUGGAUAAUGGAUUUCAAAGGUGCCCUCAUGUCCCAUGGAGGUGAUUCUGUUCUCAUUUCUGGUAUGUGACCAUAGUAGCUAAAGGCCCAGCCUUUCACCUGCUGAAAUCCAUCACAGUCUUGCCCUUGCCUUGAAGAGAAGCUGAUAUUGACUUUCAGUUAAAGAAGGAAAAGAAAAGAUAGAAGAAUGCAACAAAUGCACACAGAGCAUACCAGAGCCCUGUCGGCAUCCAAGCAGCAGGAGGAAGAGCUGCAAUUUUUGUAAACAGAGCACAGGGAGAGGACAGGAAGUUUUGGGAACUGCAUAGAUCCUAGAUUAAAUGAGAUUAGCAUGCGUUUAUUCAGAAUAAACCACAAGCUAUCUUGGCAAAAAGUCUACCCUACAGUAGAUUGUAAAGUACUAGAUGGUAGGUUGUAAAGUGACUUGUCAGAUAAUUCCUUGAUUGGCAGAUAAGAGGUGGCUGUUGUAGCGUGAUUCACAAAAUGGAGCCCUGGGGCACCCUUACCUACAAAACAGCAAUUCCACCCACACCACCAAGAAGCAGCUGAAAGCAAGAGAGUUUCUCACACAACCGUGAUUUGCACCCUGGAGAAGCAGAGACCAAGAUGGCUCUAAGAGGGGUGUGUUAAACCAGAAAGAAUGCUUUUUUGGUUUACAUUCAUCCUGGGAAAAAACUUUGUGUUGUUGAACUGCCAAGGCCACUGGAGUCAUCAUAGCAUUCCCUGUUGGUUUAAGAAACACAAAGCUUGAUUGCACAUCAUGGCUGCUUCUUCGCAUCGUCAGCAGCUCUCAGAAAAUGGUGGCAUAUUUCUCUUUAUACUGAUGUCUGUGGCUCAGCUAGGAACAGAAAUAACAAGUACUGAGGAACAUCUCUGCAAGCUUGGAAAAGUCACCAAGGAGAUGCACAGCAAAGCAUAUCUGCAUCCUCUGUCCACUUUCCAAAGCUGCUCUUCCUAAGAAAGCAGGAAUUCUUCUUUUAACCUCUUCUUCCAUUUAUUUUGUUGAUGCUGCCAAUAAAUUAAAUGUAUCCAGUUUAUAGGAGAGUGAAGUUUUGCAGGUAUUAAAAUGGGUUAAUAUUAUGUCAUUGAAAAAUUACUUAGCUUGCCACUGAAUCAACUCAGCAUUGCCCUGCACAGAUAUUUCUGCCCAGGGACAAAAACAAGUCUGAAAGUCAGAAAUGAGAAGACAACUGGCAGGAUGAAAUGAAGAAAGAGAGAAAGUCAGCUACCCCCUCUGGGGACCAGACAUCUUUGAAAUGAGCCUUGACAGACCAAACAGAAGUCCUGAUGCUGGGCUCUAGCAAAAUAUUAGCAAAGACUGAAUCCUGUACUCCUCAAGACUGUGGUAUGUAUAUAAAUGUAAGCUGAGAGUGAUAGACAAAAGAAGAGUGUUAAAGCUGCCACUUGACACUAAUGCUUGUAUCUCACUGAUCCAUCAGCACAUCCAAGGGAAAAGGGGGUGAGUCUGCCCUGGCCCUGAGGCUGGUCCCACCAAGGAAGGGGUAAUUGCAGCCUCUCCCUGAUGCCAAACCCCUGCCAAGGACGUAUGACUGAAAUCUCAAAACUAGAAGAGUUUUGACAUGGGGUUCACCUUUUCCCUGCUGAGAGAGGAUGCAAAUCUGCUUCCUUUCAGCAUGGCUGUUCACACAGGACAGGGGCUUAUGCUCAGACUUUGUGCUGCCAUCAUUAUUUUUACCAAGGCAUGUAUUUUAUUGACAUUUCCAGGAGUCAGAGUGUUACAGGACACUUAGUACUGCUAUCCAUAUGAGUCCUACUGUGUCUGCUACACAGGAGAGAUUUAACAACAGACUCGAGCUUAUUUGCUCACCAAUAAGUAUUCAACACAGUAGCUGGUAAAUUUCUCCUUAACCACUUUAUGAAGUUACAUUACUACCUCCCUACUGCAUAGAUUACACUGGUACAAUUGGCAUGCAUGUUUUAGACUGGAAGAGUCAUUCCAUUUCUGCUCAGGAAUAGCUAUCCCAACACAGAUGUAUUUAUAACAACACAUCUGUGCCCACUCUAGAGGAAUUCUUCCACUGUAGUCGUAGGAACACAGCCUUCCUGUGUGCACAGCUCAGCAUGGUGGUAUCUUCCAGUCAAUAGAAGACAUUAAGAAUAAUGAUUACAACAUGGGUUUUGCUCCAAGGAAAGAGCACCCUUCCUCCAGCAACACAAGGGUUUUAAUAAGGUAGGAAAACAGGUGAUUCCUAAUGUCAAGAGAGAUUCUUCAAAGAAAUUGCAUCUUUCCUUCAGUGAAGAAAGCUGUUGAGUACUUUUUUUUUUUCAUGCAACAGCAGUGGGUGCAAUUGAAGACAGCCAAACUUCUGGCUUGUCUUGGUUGCCUCAUUGCUGACCCGAAUAGCUGCCUUGUGGUUUGGUGGCAUGAGCAGCCAGCCUGUUUUUCUGGGUGAUGUUGGGUUGGGGUAUAAUGGAUGAACAGCCCUCUUCCUGUGAAUUACGCAGGAGAUUGCUCCUUACCAACUUUGUGUCCAUAGGGCUGUGGCCAUCACUGCCCAUGCCCAGGGACUGAGCCUCUCUCCCCAUGAGCCCCCAGGCUCUUUCAGCAUCUUACAUCUUAGCAAGAGUUUUGUCUACAUCAGUUUUCGUUGUUGUAAUUUUCCUUCUUGAGAUUUCAGAAGUGCAGCGCAGCCUUCGCCUCUUCAGCUUCCCUCUGACUUUAAAAAAGUCUCCCUGCAUCACUAACCAUCUAAACAUUUGCAAUUAAAUUAUCCAUCACAGCUUCUUCUGCAGCAGAGGGAGUUGAUGAUACCGUCUUUAUGGAGGAUAAAAAUAGCCAACGUCACAUGCAGUAGCAGUGGGGAAGGCUGAGGCAAGGCGAGAAAAGGCAGCCAAACUUCUGCCUUGGUUGCAGUUGUCUCCUUCACCUGCAGCCAUUGGGAAUUGGGAAAAAAAGAUUGAGUUCCUAUAAUUGAUUGAAAUAUGCCCAACACUGUCUGAAUUUACACUAAAGUCCUUCACAUGGCAAGUGCUGGAUACUGUAGGUUUCUCACAGCAGCCUAAAAACUCCAGCGACUCCAAAUUGUGAGCGGUGCCAUCAAAGAAACAAGGAUUUUGCAUCCAUCUCCUUUCUGUUUGGUUUUGGAACAAGUAUGUAUGCUACUUGGACUGGGAUGAUGAUUUCAGAAGAGGUUUGCUGAUAUUCUAAGAUCUUCAUAGCAGUUCAGUGAAAAAAAAAAAAUCAAUGGGAGCACUUUUCCCUGUAGGUAUGCAAGUUCCAAUAUUUCUGGCCCAGAACUCUUGUUGCCUGGGGCUAAAGCUCUGCAGGGCUGCAGAACAGACCCCAUUAUCAGCUGCUGUUCAGGAGACAACAGAAUACAGUGCAGGAAUUUCACAUAAGUAAAGACAAAAGUGUAGGCUUUGCGUAGUUGUCAUAUAUCCUCAUCCUACAGUGCAAUAAUUGCUUAGAAAUAGAUAAAGAAUCCUUUACACUUCCCCAGCACCUUCAAGGCACUAUCAGAAGUCACACAUCCCUACAGACACCCCAGUGCAGCAGGCACAUGCCAGGCUGAACAGGAGUGUAUAUAUUUAUCUGAGAUUUUCUAUGUGCAAUAUUAAGUUUCUGUUAAUCAAUAACUGGGUAUCUGCAGCAUGCCUGUCUCAGAGAAGCUCGUGCUCUGCUGUUUCAGUGCUGUGCACAGAGCUGAUGGCCAUCCUUCCCCAACAAACAGACAUUUAGAGAAGCUUAUCAUAGGAAGGCUUGGGUUGGAAGGGACCUCCAAGAUCAUCCAGUCCCAGUCCCCUGCCCCCCAUGGAGGCACCAGGGCAGGGAGGAGAAAAUGCAAACACUCCGAAACAAUCCCACUUUGCUAGAAGUUACAUCUGCAACUUAUAAAGUGAAUGCCAUGGUAAAUAGCUAUUAGUAAGGCUGAAUCAUCUCCCCAUCCUCUGCACAUUUUCGCUUUGACAUUUGUUGUCCUUUUUCUUCUGUUUAAUGAGUGAGUAAAAUACAUUUGAAACUCGUGUAUGUGCAUUGAAGCAGUUGAAAAGCUAUUUUAAAGGGAAAAAAGCUAACAUUUAGAAUGGCUUAAAGCUCCUCAGUGCAAAGAGAGCUCAUAGAACGAUACUUUCAGUGAAAUCCUAUUCUACAUUUUAUUCUGGUUUAUAGCAAAUAAAAAAUAAUAAAUCUGAAGACCAAAGCUAUUGAAGCCUCAUUUUCUCUCUGCCUUUUAUUCCAGUCAGCUAUCCUAAACAUUAACAAACCAAAUUUUACUCAGGUACACUGAGCUUUGAUAGAAUCAUAAAAUCAUUAAGGCUGAAAAAGUCUGCUAAGAUCAUCUAGUCCAAUCAUCAAUCUAUCACCACCAUGCCCACUAACCAUGUUCCUUCAGCUUUACACACUGUCUAUGAGAUAUGCCUUGAGAUAUUAAACAUUUGUCUCAAUU